rnacentral:rRNA from 1 species
AAUCAACGCUGGCGGCGUGCCUCAGACAUGCAAGUCGAACGAUUAAAGCUCUCUUCGGAGAGUGUAUAGAGUGGCGCACGGGUGAGUAACACGUAAGUAAUCUACCUUUGAGUGGGGAAUAACAGUCGGAAACGACUGCUAAUACCGCAUAAUGCAGCGGCAUCGCAAGAUGACAGUUGUAAAGAGCAAUCCGCUUAAAGAGGAGCUUGCGGCAGAUUAGCUUGUUGGUAAGGUAACGGCUUACCAAGGCUACGAUCUGUAUCCGGUCUAAGAGGACGGUCGGACACACUGACACUGAAUAACGGGUCAGACUCCUACGGGAGGCAGCAGUCGGGUAAUUUUGGGCAAUGGGCGAAAGCCUGACCCAGCAACGCCGCGUGAAGG